ACUCCUACGGGAGGCAGCAGUGGGGAAUAUUGGGCAAUGGAGGAAACUCUGACCCAGCGACGCCGCGUGAGGGAUGAAGGCCUUCGGGUUGUAAACCUCUUUCAGUAGGGAAGAAGCGAAAGUGACGGUACCUACAGAAGAAGCACCGGCUAACUAUGUGCCAGCAGCCGCGGUAAU
rnacentral:rRNA from 1 species